GACGAACGCUGGCGGCGUGCCUAAUACAUGCAAGUUGAGCGCUGAAGGUUGGUACUUGUACCAACUGGAUGAGCAGCGAACGGGUGAGUAACGCGUGGGGAAUCUGCCUUUGAGCGGGGGACAACAUUUGGAAACGAAUGCUAAUACCGCAUAAAAACUUUAAACACAAGUUUUAAGUUUGAAAGAUGCAAUUGCAUCACUCAAAGAUGAUCCCGCGUUGUAUUAGCUAGUUGGUGAGGUAAAGGCUCACCAAGGCGAUGAUACAUAGCCGACCUGAGAGGGUGAUCGGCCACAUUGGGACUGAGACACGGCCCAAACUCCUACGGGAGGCAGCAGUAGGGAAUCUUCGGCAAUGGACGAAAGUCUGACCGAGCAACGCCGCGUGAGUGAAGAAGGUUUUCGGAUCGUAAAACUCUGUUGGUAGAGAAGAACGUUAGUGAGAGUGGAAAGCUCAUCAAGUGACGGUAACUACCCAGAAAGGGACGGCUAACUACGUG
rnacentral:rRNA from 1 species